UCCAGCCUCAGGUGGUUCCUCUCCACUCUGAUGUUGUGCAGGUUUGUCAGCCUGGCCUGCAGACCUCUGGCUGAGACACCAACCGUGACGACCCGGCAAGUAUACGCUGAGAAGCUCCUUUCGUUCCCUUGCAGAAAACCUUACUUCUCGUUUAUAACUGAGCGGCCAGGGCCCCUCUUGGUGUGACCCGAGGGCGGCAGAGGGGACAGCCCCACUGCAGCUCCCCCAGCUGCUGCUAGCUCGCAGGCUUGCCCUUCUCAGCUGAACUGGCUGCUCAAGGGACCAAGUCUUCCGUCCUGCAGGCGGCGCCUCUGCUUCCCCUGGCAGCUGAGGCUUGCAGGGCGGCUUGAAAGUCCCCGUCCCCUUUCUCCUCAGGUCCAGUCUGGCUGUCUCAGGGCCUGCACCGGUGGCACCUGAGGCAGAGGCUCGUCUUCCUCAGCAGGACCCCGAGAUUCCACCAGUUUCCAGUGACGCGUCCCUGACUGCUCCCAGGAUCUGCUGCAAAGCCUUACUUAUUAUUAAACCUGGAAAAAUUUAUUAAAAACAACUUUUUUGAAA